rnacentral:rRNA from 1 species
UACAGGGGUCUCAAGCGUUGUUCGGAUUCAUUGGGCGUAAAGGGUGCGUAGGUGGCGGGGUAAGUCUGAUGUGAAAUCCCGGAGCUCAACUCCGGAACUGCAUUGGAUACUGCCUUGCUUGAGCACUGGAGAGGAGACUGGAAUUUACGGUGUAGCAGUGAAAUGCGUAGAUAUCGGGAGGAAUACCUAUGGCGAAAGCAGGCUACUGGACCGUCACUGACUCUGAUCUGCGAAAGCUAGGGGAGCAAACAGG